AACGAACGCUGGCGGCAGGCUUAACACAUGCAAGUCGAACGAGAUCUUCGGAUCUAGUGGCAGACGGGUGAGUAACACGUAGGAAAUCUGCCCUUUGGAGGGGGACAACAGUUGGAAACGACUGCUAAUACCCCAUAUGAGCUAAGUUGUAAUACUUAUCUUGAAAACUCCGGUGCCAAAGGAUGAGCCUGCGCCUGAUUAGCUUGUUGGUGGUGUAAUGGACUACCAAGGCGACGAUCAGUAGCUGGUUUGAGAGGAUGAUCAGCCACAAUGGGACUGAGACACGGCCCAUACUCCUACGGGAGGCAGCAGUAGGGAAUUUUGCGCAAUGGGGGAAACCCUGACGCAGCAACGCCGCGUGAAUGAUGAAGCCCUUCGGGGUGUAAAGUUCUGUCAGUGGGGACGAAUUUUGACGGUACCCACAAAGGAAGCACCGGCUAACUCCGUGCCAGCCGCCGCAGUAA
rnacentral:rRNA from 1 species